CCUACGGGAGGCAGCAGUAGGGAAUAUUGGGCAAUGGAGGCAACUCUGACCCAGCCAUGCCGCGUGCAGGAUGAAGGCGUUAUGCGUUGUAAACUGCUUUUAUAUAGGAAGAAAGAGUUCUUGCGAGAACAGUUGACGGUACUAUAUGAAUAAGCACCGGCUAACUCCGUGCCAGCAGCCGCGGUAAUACGGAGGGUGCAAGCGUUGUCCGGAUUUAUUGGGUUUAAAGGGUGCGUAGGCGGUUUAUUAAGUCAGUGGUGAAAGACGGUCGCUCAACGAUUGCAGUGCCAUUGAUACUGGUAGACUUGAGUGAGAUUGAGGUAGCUGGAAUGGAUAGUGUAGCGGUGAAAUGCAUAGAUAUUAUCCAGAACACCAAUUGCGUAGGCAAGUUACUAAGUCUCAACUGACGCUGAGGCACGAAAGUGUGGGUAUCAAACAGGAUUAGAUACCCUGGUAGUCCACACUGUAAACGAUGAUAACUAACUGUUGGCUUUCGGGUCAGUGGUACAGAGAAAUCGUUAAGUUAUCCACCUGGGGAGUACGCCGGCACGGUGAAACUUAAAUGAAAUUGACGG
rnacentral:rRNA from 1 species